ACAACAGUUAUUACAAUUGUUCGGUGCAAGCAGAAUGUCACAGUUUCAUCCCAGGCGUUGAAGCGCACAUCCUUAACCUCCUCAGGCUUCAGACCACCCUCCACCACAAGACCAAGAAGGAAAACAGCAAAAUAGCCGCAAAGAUGGAAGAAAAGGGGAAACUAGAAAGAACAAACAACAGAUUUUGGGAAAGCCUACGCAGUUUUACUCUGUUGUCUCCCAUAUUCUCUCUACAUAGCCAGCUCCCUAAUCCUCACUCCCCGCCCCUAACUGCACUGGCCUCUAAGAUCUAUAGAAUGGACCAAAUAAACGAGAUUGUCUCUAACGGUUAUUACAAUACAUGAUGC
rnacentral:misc_RNA from 1 species